GGAUGUAAGGUGAUGUGGCUCCAUCUGUCACUCCUUUGUCUGUCAGUCACACUUGUGAGGGCUGACCUGCUGAGCUGGCUGGCAAGGGAAGCAGCCUCCCUUUCCCUCGCAGUUCCAUGUCCUCCACAGCAGAGUUGAGCAACACAGGACUGUUCUCCUGGGAAGGGAUAAAGUAGCUGCGCUCCUUGCCUAGAAACCCCAACACAUUCUCACAGUGCAGGUUUGCUUUGCUGGGGCGGUUUAGCCAGAUGAAUUAUUGUUGCCUCAUUUCCUAUUUUGUUUUGAGAUAGGGUCUCUCUAUGUAGCGUAGGCUGUCCUAGAAC
rnacentral:sRNA from 1 species